ACAAAAGAAAAACCCUAAAAAGAAAGACACCCGCCCCACCCCUGCUGUUUCAUCUUUUUCGUCGUCUUCUCCAGCGGCGACCACCAACAGCCCAGCCUCCGCCUCGUCGUCGAAACCAAGAGACCAGUCUGCUUCUUUUAUCCCCAUAACCACCAACGAGCAACUCCAGCUCGAACGCCCGUCGACCACUCUUCAGUCGAGCAACUGCCAUCUCCAUUCCCGUCGACGAACAACCAAACCAGGGACGCGACCAACCAGCCUCACCGUCGACUCCAUCAGCUCUCCGACCACAGACGAACGUCCAUCUCCAAACCACCACACAUGAGCUUCAUUAUCAACUGCUUCACGUCUUCCUCACUUCGUCGUUCACCUCCAGCCAAGCCAGCCCGUCGCCAGCUGACCAUCGACCACCCUUUUUCCGUCAAGCAACAGUGAGCAGCAACAUCUCCAAGCCACUGCUGCUCCAACUCCACUGUCACGCCAACGACCCUUUUGUCGUCUCCCAGUCUUUUUCCAUAACCACCCUCCAGUCCAAAAUGAGACCAGCCAUCCGAGGUCGGGCUUAGUCGUACGUCGAAGCAGUGCGUUGAGGUUCCGUUUGAGUCCGUGUCUGUUAAUCAAGCGUCAAAACAGUGUCGUGAAUGAAGCUGUGUUUCAUCGGAAGUUCAUCAUUGUUCGACGUCGGAUCAUUAGCAUAAAGGUACACUAUUGCAUACUUCAAAUGACUGUAGGCCGAAAAAAUGUGCAGAAAUAAUGCUAUAUGAAGAAGCGAAGCUUGUUUCUGAUUUAACCUCUUUUUGAGUUGUGUGUUUAAAUUCUACUGAGGAUAUAGAUCCCUGUUAGUCUAUAAUAGUUGGACUGAAAUUAAGUUGUAUGAAUUUCUCCUGUUGUUAAAAAACAUGGUUCAUACUA